AUGGAGGACGUGGAUACCGUUGCCGGGAACAUUGCCGAGGAGGCCGCCAAGGAUGCUGCCGAGGACACCACGGCGGGGGCUGCCAAGGCGACCGGCGAGGCUUCGGCCAAGGGCACCAGCGGUGGACCUGCCAGUGGGGCCGGCAAGGCCUUCGCCAAGGAAGAGGUGUUCGGGCCUUAGCCCCUCUCGUCGACAGCGUCGUCCUCUCAGGCGCAGGCGCAGCCGGACUUCGAUUACCUGUUCAAGCUCCUCCUCAUCGGCGACUCCGGCGUCGGCAAGAGCAGUCUCCUCCUCCGAUUCACAUCCGACUCAUUCGAGGACCUAUCCCCAACCAUCGGCGUGGACUUCAAGGUGAAGAUGGUUAACAUUGCCGGCAAGAAGCUCAAGCUCGCCGUCUGGGACACCGCUGGACAGGAACGGUUUAGGACCUUGACCAGCUCUUACUACAGAGGGGCACAAGGGAUCAUCAUGGUGUACGAUGUUACUCGCCGAGAAACAUUCACCAAUCUCUCUGACAUAUGGGCCAAGGAAAUUGACCUGUAUUCGACCAACCAGGACUGUAUAAAGAUGCUUGUCGGAAACAAAGUGGACAAGGAAAGUGAGAGGGCUGUCACCAAGAAGGAAGGCAUUGACUUUGCCAGGGAGUAUGGGUGUUUAUUUCUGGAAUGCAGUGCGAAAACCAAAGUGAACGUGGAGCAGUGCUUUGAGGAGCUUGUGCUCAAGAUAUUGGACACGCCGAGCCUGUUGGCGGAUGCAUCCUCUGGGGCGAAGAAGAACAUCUUCAAGCAGAAGGCGCCAGAGGCUGAUGCUGCGGCGAGCGGCUGCUGUUGAUUUCAUUCACGCAUGCUAAUCCCGGACAUCUAUCUAUGAUCUAUCUUAGUGGAGGAUGGAUGACAACGUUUGUUGGAGAAAGUGAUGAUAUCUAGGCAGCUUGUUUGUUUCUGCCGGUUUUAUUUCGCUUUUGUGUUGCUGUAUAUGAAUCAGUCAGUCGGUCGGUCGCUCAAUGCUCCUCAUGUUGAAGUUGAAUCUGAAAACAAAACACAGUACCUUGGCAGCUUUCAGCUCUCUCUAUAAUGUACGUACGUAUUAUUAAGAAAAGCUCUAUAAAUUUAGUCA